rnacentral:misc_RNA from 1 species
AUUUCUUACUUUUUUAUUUUUGCACAUCACUGUACCUGAAGACAUGCACACAAUUGAAAGUUAAAAUGUCAAUACGCAUUAUGGGUCAAGUAUGGGCAUGCAUAUGCAUCACAUACUUUUGGUAGUUGCUUUAGACAUAGUCAUUUUAAGUCCAUGUAAUGAAACUCCAUUCUGUUCUUUAUUCUUAACUGGUCAACCUUCUUGUGAUCUUUUUAAGUUGAUAAAGUUAUAUUUUCUUCAUCACAAUAAAACUAAAGGAAUAGCUUAUCUGUAUGAUUGUUAAGAUGGACUAAAGCUUGGAUACCAGUACCAGAGUCAGUUUGAUGUCUCAUGCAUUCUCUACCUACAUGACAAUCGAAUGUGAUAGUUUACGCGGGUGUUGGAAACUCCACUCUGUUGAGCAUAAGAUGGGAAAAUUUUUGUACUGUGGACCAUAGAAAAUUGUUUGGUCUAAGACAAAAAUAAACAAUUUAUCUAAGACAAAAAUAAACAAUUAAUCAAUUCUUCGUGAACAUCUUUGGAUAGAUACAUUCUUACGCAAAAAUUUUGAUGAUGAGUUAGGUAAGACAUAACUGUGAAAAAUAGUGCAUGGU